UACGUAGGGUGCAAGCAUUAAUCGGAAUUACUGGGCGUAAAGCGUGCGCAGGCGGUUUUGUAAGUCUGUCGUGAAAGCCCCGGGCUCAACCUGGGAAUUGCGAUGGAGACUGCAAGGCUUGAAUCUGGCAGAGGGGGGUAGAAUUCCACGUGUAGCAGUGAAAUGCGUAGAGAUGUGGAGGAACACCGAUGGCGAAGGCAGCCCCCUGGGUCAAGAUUGACGCUCAUGCACGAAAGCGUGGGGAGCAAACAGG
rnacentral:rRNA from 1 species